CAAAAAUUGACGGGUACACGCCUGAUGGAGCGGCGCCGCGUGAGUGAAGAAGGUUUUCGGAUCGUAAAACUCUGUUGUAAGGGAAGAACAAGUACAGUAGUAACUGGCUGUACCUUGACGGUACCUUAUUAGAAAGCCACGGCUAACUACGUGCCAGCAGCCGCGGUAAUACGUAGGUGGCAAGCGUUGUCCGGAAUUAUUGGGCGUAAAGCGCGCGCAGGCGGUCCUUUAAGUCUGAUGUGAAAGCCCACGGCUCAACCGUGGAGGGUCAUUGGAAACUGGGGGACUUGAGUGCAGAAGAGGAAAGUGGAAUUCCAAGUGUAGCGGUGAAAUGCGUAGAGAUUUGGAGGAACACCAGUGGCGAAGGCGACUUUCUGGUCUGUAACUGACGCUGAGGCGCGAAAGCGUGGGGAGCAAACAGGAUUAGAUACCCUGGUAGUCCACGCCGUAAACGAUGAGUGCUAAGUGUUAGGGGGUUUCCGCCCCUUAGUGCUGCAGCUAACGCAUUAAGCACUCCGCCUGGGGAGUACGGUCGCAAGACUGAAACUCAAAGGAAUUGACGG
rnacentral:rRNA from 1 species